rnacentral:lncRNA from 1 species
GUGCCACCAUGCUUGGCUUUACCUGCUUUUUUAACAAGUUGCUUUAAAGUCACCCAGGAACCUCAAUGAGCCACCACUUUGCCCCGUAGGUUGGCACUAAUUCCCAAGGGACAGCACACAGAGCACCAGGGUGUGUGACAGGGCUGGGGUACUGUCAUGUGGUGGUCAUGUCAAAAUCAGUCUGGCUCCUCCUGCUCCAGGGGAUUGGUCACCUCCACGGUUUGGAUGUGGUUCGUUCCCCUAAAGAUCCGUUUGCGGGAAGCUUGGUCACCAAUGUAACGGCAUUGAGAGGUGAAGGGACCUUUAAGGUGAAGGUGAGUGAGAAGAGGGUAGGCCUUGGCGAUAGGGACCAGGCCCUUAAGGCUGUUCCAAAUCAUAUUUACCCCUGUGCUUUGUCCUCUUCCAGGAAUGUCUGCUCUACUGUGGCACACGUCCCGCCAUGUGGUGCCACCUGCUACCACAUAGCAUGAGGUCUUUCCCAGAUACUGCCACCCAGUUCUGAACUUUCUAACCUCCAGAACUGUGUACUAGAUGAACCUUUUCACUGUAUAAACUACCAAGCCUCAGGGUGUUCUAUUGUAGCAACACAAAAUGGGCUAAGAUACAUGCCUUAAAGUAAACCCAAGAGAAACUACUAGAAAUGUUCAAUGGAGUCCACAGCAGGACAAACUUGGAAUCUACCUGAAUGAUGAAUGGAAGUGGUAGAAUAGUAUAUAGCCAUUAAAAAUGUGUGUGAGAAGGAUGGAUAGCAUUUAACCACAACUUAGAAAUAGUAUCACCAGAAAAAAGCAUUACUGUGAUAAUGAGUAGGUCCUCCAAGAUUGUACAAACAGCAUGAUGCCAUUGACUGAUUGAUUGAUUGAUUGGAAAUACUGGUAUGGAACCUAGGGAUGAUCUACAGGGCUGUAGCUACAUCUAUAGUUCUUUUUAUUUUUCAUUUUGAGACAGGGUCUCAUUAAGUUGCUGAGGCUGAUCUUGAACUUGCAAUUCUCCUUCCUCAGCCUCCUGAGUCUCUAGGAUGACAGGCGUACACCCCACCAUGCCUGGC